UCUCCAGCUGUGCUGGGACAUGUAGUUCCACGGCAGCGGGUGGAGGAGAUGUGCGGCCACCUGAUGCCAGGUAACUGACGUGUCUCCCUGCUGGGAUGGAUGGUACAUGGGCCCUUACGCUGAACAUUGGGCUGGUGAUAUGAGGUACAAUGACAAGACAUACCAACCUCCAGAAACAAGUUCUGCGUCUGUACAAGCAGUGUCUACUGGCUGGGAAAGACAAACCUGGAUUCCUGCCCCAAAUCCAGCAUGAGUUCAGGAAGAAUGCAAAGAUCCCAAGGACUAACAUCAUGAUGAUUGAGUAUCUCCUGCGCCGUGGGAGGAGACAGCUGGAGCAGCUACAGGAUGUACAUACAAUACAGCUGGGAACUUUCAUCAAAACCUCAUCUGACCAGGAGAAACCCCCCACAUCCACAUAAGCGGGGCUGUCAGACGUGUUGGGAUACCCAGUAUACAGAUGUAAAUAUUUGGCCAUUGGUGCAGGACCUGGAAACACUGUCAGGAAGGACAAGUGUUACAAUUAGUGUAAUGUGCUGAGAGACUGAUUUUGGUUUAGGUCACCCAUCCAGCAUACAUUCAGAUAUGGGAAGCUAUGGAGGGCGGCUGUCAUGAAUAUUAUCUGUUACACGAACGUCGGGAACCGUAAAAAGAUUUCGCUGCACAACAACUUGGGAUCUUUACGCCAUCAGAAGAAGAGUUCUAUUUCUAUAUAUUUAACACUGUUUUGAUUAGACAAAAUGCAAAUAUUCUGUAUUUAGUUGUAAGAUCUGAUCGCACCCAUCAACAAUAAAUGUUGUAAAAACUUUA